CUGGAGUGAAGCACAUAUGUGACGUACUGAAGGAUUCACACUGUAAACUGGAGAUAUUGAGUCUACAGCGCUGUGGCAUUACAGAUGUUUCUUCUUUAACUCAGUCUUUGACUAACUCAAAAGCACUGCAGUUUUUAAAACAUCUUGAUCUGAGACACAAUACGAUAGGAGACUCAAAGCAGCGGCUCAGUGACGUGUUACGAGACUCAAACUGUGACCUGAGAGUUUAAUCACCAAACACGUCUGACGGAUGCUCUAUAUCAUAGUGUGAAAUCAUCAUGAGAGGAGCAGAAAUCAUCAGGUGAUCCACAGAAGAGUCUCACUACUGUGUCUAUGAGGAGAAAUAAAUGUGAUUAAUGUGUAAAUGUGUUUCAUACAGAUGGAAGAGACUCAGACUUCACAAUGAAAUAAAGCAGCAUGUGUAUCAGAAACAUGUGAUAUUGAAUGAUUAAUGCUGCUUUAGUAUUUAGUCAAAUGAUGGUUUAGUUUUAUUUAAAGGUGAACAGGAGGAAGAAGCUCAGAUGAGUCUGUCAGCAGAAAUCUUCAGGCUCUUCAGUAUCAGGCCUACAAAUAUAAUAAUGUUUGGAUUGAACUCAUCCAUAAUCAUUAAAAUAUUAUUAAUCAUAAACAUGAUUGUCAAGUAUAGCACAUAAAUCAAAAUAUAUAAAGUCUACAUGUUACUUCAAACAUUUACAUGAUCUCUUACAUUUUAUACACAGAAUAUAUUUGUUUAUUUUUGUUAUUCUGUUUUAUUUUAUAUUAAGUUAUCUGUGAGUGUCUGUUAAUGCACAGAUAUACAGUAUAUUGUUUAACUUUUCAAACAAAAACAAUUGUUCUUAACCUCUUUAACACACAAAUGCUGUUUACUGGUAAAAAUGUACAAUAUACAAUAUAUACAAUAUGUUAACUUGUCUGUUGUAUUAUUGAAGCUACAUGAGCAGAUGCAGAGAGAUUCUCCUUCUUAAAUAAAUGUGAAGUUGUAGAUGUUAAACAUAAAAUCAUAUGAGUGAUCUUUGCAAUUGCUGGAGAAGAAAUCGUGCUGGGCUGCGUUUCUCUAAACAUUGUGAGCUCAGUUGAUCGUAGAGAUUGUUGGUGGCAUUAUCAUUAAUCACCCUCGUGUCAUUCCAAACAUGUAAGAAAUGUUUCAGUGUCUGAUUUGUUUCCAACAUUCUUCAAAAUAUCUUCUUUUUAGAUAUCCUAUCUUCGACAGGAUUGUUAUUUUAGGGUGAACUAUCCCUUUAAAUGGGACCUACUAAUGUUUACAAGAUGUAAAUAAGUCUCUGGUGUCCCCAGAAUGUGUCUUUAAGCUCAAAAUACCUCACAGAUCAUUUAUUAAACCACGUUGUUAAUACCCA